rnacentral:rRNA from 1 species
ACAGGGAUUGCCCUAGUAACGGCGAGUGAAGCGGCAACAGCUCAAAUUUGAAAUCUGGCGUCUUUGGCGUCCGAGUUGUAAUUUGCAGAGGGCGCUUUGGCAUUGGCAGCGGUCCAAGUUCCUUGGAACAGGACGUCACAGAGGGUGAGAAUCCCGUACGUGGUCGCUAGCCUUUACCGUGUAAAGCCCCUUCGACGAGUCGAGUUGUUUGGGAAUGCAGCUCUAAAUGGGAGGUAAAUUUCUUCUAAAGCUAAAUACUGGCCAGAGACCGAUAGCGCACAAGUAGAGUGAUCGAAAGAUGAAAAGCACUUUGGAAAGAGAGUUAAAAAGCACGUGAAAUUGUUGAAAGGGAAGCGCUUGCAGCCAGACUUGCCUGUAGUUGCUCAUCCGGGUUUUUACCCGGUGCACUCUUCUACGGGCAGGCCAGCAUCAGUUUGGGCGGUUGGAUAAAGGUCUCUGUCAUGUACCUCCUCUCGGGGAGAUCUUAUAGGGGAGACGACAUGCAACCAGCCUGGACUGAGGUCCGCGCAUCUGCUAGGAUGCUGGCGUAAUGGCUGUAAGCGGCCCGUCUUGAAACACGGACCAAGGAGUCUAACAUCUAUGCGAGUGUUUGGGUGUCAAGCCCGAACGCGUAAUGAAAGUGAACGGAGGUGGGAACCUUUCGGGGUGCACCAUCGACCGAUCCUGAUGUCUUCGGAUGGAUUUGAGUAAGAGCAUAGCUGUUGGGACCCGAAAGAUGGUGAACUAUGCUUGAAUAGGGUGAAGCCAGAGGAAACUCUGGUGGAGGCUCGCAGCGGUUCUGACGUGCAAAUCGA